CUUAUCCGUUUCUGGUGAGCAGGCAGGGUACUGGAGCAUACAGAAAUGCUGCUUUUUGAAGCACCCUGAAAGCGGGCCCAGCAUAUUUUUCAAUGUCUAGGUGACCCAGAAGAGCUGAUCAGGGAGCAAAAACCAAGCACGUAGUAUAACAGACACAGAUAUGGGCAAACGUUAGUUUCAUGCUGCUUGGGCUUGACACUGACCUCCAAGAACCAAGAAAGCAGAAGAUGGGACUGAAACUGCCUCUUGUUUGUUCUUUGGUGCCAGAUCACACCGGGAUAUAAGAUACCUGAGGACUGUUUCUUGUUUGCAGACUGCUGCAAGACAGAGGCGUAAUCAUCUAUUGGCCUCUCUGCUGAGAUUGCCAGGGCGGAUAAGCAAGGGUCGAGCAGAGUAGGAGGUCCGGCAGUGUGGAAAAUCUACACGCCAGAGCCAGACAAGGGGGAAGAGGAGAGGAGCGCUGUUGAAGUCUGAUUUGCAGAAAAGACACAGCUUUUUCAUUAGUCCUCGUCCCUGUCGAUCUUGUUCAGCCACCUGAGCCCCCAAGCACCAAACCCCUUCUGCUCCUCAGCCUGUGCCAGGGUGGCCGCCUCGCUGGUGGGGAGUGCUCCGGAAAAUGCAGCCCUGCUUCUCCUGUGCCUGGGACUUGGCUUUGCACCAUGCCAUGCUGCAGGAAGGCUUCCAGGCUUAUCAGCAGGGUUGCCAAGGGCUGGACACGUUGCAAAGCAAGUAUCUCAAAGGAGAAAGAAGUGUCCCAUGCCAAACAGCUGUAGAUAUACUUCCAGCUGCUCGGUUCUCUGGAAAAGAGUCAUGUGAACUGCACCUUCAAAAUCUCCCUUCCAUAAGCCAGGAGCCAGCCAGUAAACACUUAAUACAUAGCUGAAUGCUGCACACUUGUGUUUCUAUUGACUUUUAAGGAGAAAGAAUAGGAAACCAUGAGUACCAUGGACUGGUACUCUGGUCUGCUACUGCAGGGAGUAGUCAACAAAGAACUUAGGUAUUAGCCAACUGCCACUGUUUGUUUGGUAGACAAAAGUAUGGCGAAUGGUCUGUUAAUGAAUAUCCCUGUGCGAGCACAUGGGCUGCAUGGCAUAAGGACAGACCUGUGCGUGGCAGGAUGGCAGAGGCUUGUGUGUGCUCAGAGGAGGAUGGGCGCUGGUAGUGGCGAUGCAUUAAACAGAGCAGGGGGUACGCAUUUCACUGCACUGCUUGGUAGUGUUUUAGGCAUGUCUGUCCACAUUGCACUGCACAAAUACUGCAUAGAGAUUAGUUCCUGUCAGAGGAAUUGUAUUCAAUUAUACAUUAUACUCUUGUUUUGAUAUAAUGCCAUUGAAAUGAAUGAACUUCUACACGUCUCAGAGUAGGGCAACAAGCUGAAAUGAAUCCAGUCUAGCAUGCCAUCCUAUUAGAAAGGGUCAGGUACAAAUCCAGCACUGGCUUGCCCCUUUUGUGUUUUUCAAAAGCUCAGAUCCGCAUUGGAAUGGAGGUGAGCAAAGGUCCAUUUCCACUGCUAACAGAGGGCAAGUCGGGAAAUGUAAGGGCUUUGCUCAGGCUGUAGGAAGUGAAUGGAGAUGUGUCACAGGAUUGCAGGAAGCUCAUGACUCCUAAAGAUAACAGUUGUUUGUGGUCAUGAGAUGAUUCCCAUUCUAUAUUUCAGUCUUCUACAGAAGGGAUUCGCUCAGCCAAAAACACACUGUUCCCUAGUGCCUGAACUAGAGUUCCCACUGAAACCCCUGUAAAGGUUUACCUCAGGGUCUCUUUUAAGGUGUUUUAAGGUAAAAGGAUGCAGGGACAGAGCGUGAGACCAGAAGUGUAAUCAUGCAGUGAUAAAGUGCAGGGGUCCACAGCCAAAGAGCUGCUCUGCAAGUGUGGGUGGAGUCCUCGGUAGCGGACAGCAGCAUGCCAUGUUCACUGCCACGUGCUGUCACCACCAGCGGGCUGCUGACAGAUCCAGCCUUGAAAGCAAACUGUCACGGAAGGAGCUUGAGGUAUGUGUGAGAUUUGGGUGGACUGAGAUAUGCUUUAUGGUUUCCAAUAUUCUGAAAUACUACCUGAGCCAUUUUCUUGAUCUUAGCCAAUGUACCAGAGCUACCUUUACUGAAACCUCUAGACAGUGCACAAAAGUAUAUAUCAUGCUGUACAGCAGCAUACCAAUAAUCCAUCUUUGCUCUUUACUAAUCUAAUUUAGGUGCUGGAAUAACAAAGUACAUAGUCCCUUCUCUGAGUGUGCAUUAUGCAAAAUCAGAGCCUGGGCUAUAAGGAAGAUAUUUGGAAAUCAGGCCUCUCCUGUCAAAUUUAGGACAGGGAAACAUCCUUCUUUCCUUAUAAGGAUAGGAUUCUUUCUCGUAACCAGCACUGAGAGGGAAGUUACACAAGACGGUAACCCAAAUAGACACAAAUCCUGAGGCUUUCCACAGAAAGGGGAACCUAAGCUCGAAAAUCCCAGCAUAGGAUGGCGGUGUGUUGCAUCAGUUUUCAUUCCUGUGCAGCUUUUACUGGACUAACAUCCAGACUCUGCAAGCAAAUGGAAAGCAGAAGCAGAUGUGAAGGGUGCAGGGUUCCUUUAGUAGGUCAGCUAGGAAGCCCAGCCAUUUGGGGCUCUGUUCAGAUCAUUCACUGGUCCUGAGCCAGAAGCAAGCACAAAUUGUCUGGCAGACCGUGAGGGUGAAAUACCUGUGGGAGUAGCAGGAAAGGGCAAAGUAUUUAAGGCAAAGGAAGCACUGUGGCAGAGGCCUGCUAGGAGUUCUGUACAGCUCUGCAUACAUUAGGGCAGAGAGACACAUCCCCUGCGGUAUAGAUGCUGGGCCAAAGAUUACAUAGGUGUGCAGGGGAUGCAGCGCCUUUUUGAGCCCAAAUACAGCCUGCAGAACUGCCUGACCUCUCAUCUACCAUCUAACUUCCUCCCUGCACUGUUGUAGGCUGCGCCCCAGCCACCUUAUUUCCCCUGCUGUAGGGCAGGUAUUUGCGAAGGACUUUGUCAGGGCUGUUGGCCACAGCGUGGCUUGCAGCAGUCUUGCAGUAUAGUUUUGCAGUGGUUGCUGAAAGUCUUCAUGUGCCUGAGUUGCCUGCAUGUGGUGCAAUUCAGAAUAAGCUCGGAACUGCACAAAUUGCAUGCAAACCAACGGUUAAGUGCUUUGCACUUAGCUUUUUUCUUUGGCCUGGUUUCUCCAUUGUUUCACACCAUAUGUUGUCACUUACAGUGAUGGAAGGAGAACAGAAAUUAACACCUUUCUGAUUUGGUAGCGUUUUGCUGUGGCUUUCCAUUGGCACAAAAAGCAAGUAUAUGUUGCAACACUGUAGAGAAUGGCUUCCCUGCCUGAAGACAACUCGGCUAACGCCCGCCUGGCAAAACAACUAUAAACACCGUGAGGUCAUGAGGUUUCUUUCCACUGCAGAGAGCAAGUGAUGCUCCUGAAAAACUAUGGGAAAACAGUUACCGACCUCAACUCCCUUCCAACAUCAGUUCUUUUUUCUCUUGGUUUAAUGUUGAAAACAAAGUUGUAACUCAGUCAUCAACCGUGGAAUUUAUCCCAGAAGACACGCAAGGACCACCAACAAUGUGGACCAGGUGUGAACUAUAAAUAGCAUUGGCAAGAGGCCUCCUGUGUCCCAGAGGCAUUAAUCCCACAGCCAGUGCUACUCCUUUUAUUUAUUUAUUUAUUUUCAAGUUUGCCAUUUCUCAAGCCCUCUUGGCAAGACUGUCUCUUGCUCAGGAUUUGUACAGCACUGAGCACAGUGAAGCCGCUAACCUUGAAUAAGCCCCUGUAGCACUACUGCAGUUGUAAUAACAUUGGAUUUUGUAACAACCUAUUCUCUUGUAAAAAUGACGGUCUGGCAGCUGCAGGGCAGUUUUAGAUGUGUCCCACGAAGUGCCAUAGCCUGGAGGGGCAGAUGUGUACCUGUAAUAUCCUUGGGCUUCCCAAACACAGGAGAUGGUUUGAUGCACAAAAAACUGGGAAAGGUAGGUGGCCUUGAAGAGCAACAGAAAACAGUCUUUAUUUUAUAUAGACAUUUCAAGCUACCAUUAUUUCAUCUGGAGUCAGGAAUGAUAUAAACAAGGGAGUACAAGCAUGCCAUUCUGGCUUUCAUUAUUUUUUCGCAUUAAGAGAACUUUUCCUUUUCCUGUAAAAGUGGGAAGGAAGAGAAAUCUUACAAGUAUUUAUUUACAACUCUUAGUUAAAAUUAAGGCCGGAUUAGGAGAAAAGCCUUUCUGAAAUUGUGAAAUUCUCUGACUCAGUGAUUCAAAUGUUAAUACGGUACCAUACCUCACCUUUCUUGCCUCAUGUCUUUCAUCCCAAUAAACCACUUCAACCACCACCGUAAUGCAGCCACUUCUGGAUAAAAUCACUUUGUCAUGAACAAAAAUCUACCCUUCUAAAGUGAGGAUAUGAAGAAAGGACAGAAAGCCUCCAGUUUGGCAUUUGCACUGGAUAUUGCUUGAAAGUAAGUGGGAUUCCCUUGGAGUUUUUCCCUCCCAGCAGCGCUGAGCCUGUUCAGGGUUUAAGCUAAUGCAAUGUGCCAACACUGUGUGCUGGCAGCACCAUGUUUUAAGCCUAUCAUAAGCUUAGCUUUUCUGUAGGAAGCCCUUCUCCAUGAGAAGGUGCCACUUGCUGUUUUUAUUGUGUUCUAGUACCCAGAAAACGUAUCUAGAAAGUCUAUAAGGCCAAGGAGAGGGUUUGUUUUCUGUGACAGAGCAUGUUGCAGUGAGAGGAGGGAGGCUGGGCUAUCACUUAGGACCUCGCUAACACUGCAGUGUGUUUGCUCAUCCUCUGACUCCACACGGUGUUUCUGGGUUACUUCAGAGAAAUGAGGUUUUGGUUUACUUAUUUUCAGAAGCAGAGGCAAAGAAAAAUUACUAUCACCAAUGUCUUAGUGUGAGUUAAAAUACACUGUAAACCUUUAUUGAAAGUUUUCCUAGGUCUUGUUCAGCUUGAAAAGAUGCAACUUUGUGCAAUAUGCUGUAUGUUGCCUGAUGAAGCUUUCCUUUCAGAUUGCAGUUUGAGUUCACACAAACGCACGAAAAGGAGCAAAACCAAGUGUCGAUACAGUGUGUCAGGAUGCUUUUUCACUGGAUCCUCUCAUUGUACUUUUUUUUCAUGUCUGAUGUAUUUACAGAAAAUGGACUUCUGUCUUCCUCUGGAUCUUUGGAUCCGUUCUUACUUCCCUCCCUGCCUUCUUGUUCUCUUCUGCUUGAUCUGACAGUCAUGAUAAAGUCCUGAACACCUACUGCUGUGGAAACUCUUCUCCUGUCAUCUUCUGACAUGCAUGUGAAAUGAUGAGGUUGGUGCCAUGGUUAAGACCUUAAAAUAAAGGUCUUUCCAGGAAUCUGAGCUGACUUUUUGAAAUGGUAGUUGCUAAUGCAAAAUUGAUAUAGGAAUUACCAAAGGUGGUAAGUAUUCUGCUUAUUAUACAACACAAGAAUAUGGGAGAAUUAUCCAGUGGAGCAGCAGACUGGAUGGUAGAAUCAGAACCAUCCUUUAAAUUCCUCACUUAAUUACAGAUUUGUUUUGAUACUUGAUCCUGUAUUUUGUUCUAUGAAAUGGGGGUGGACAUCCUUUCUCUGCAUUAUCUACUUGUAAUAAGCCUUUGCAAUUCAUCUUUUACCAUGCUUGUGUGCGUGCCAUAUUUCAUCUGUUAGUAUUAGCUGUAUUGACAUCUUUUUGUGUACGGAUAAAGUAAUAAUAAUUGAAAAUCAAAUAAGAAAUGAGCAAGCUUGAAAAUCAUCCAGAUGUGGACUAACACCUAGAGAUUCUGUCAUAGAAGAGGUUGAGCAGAAAAGGGAGGGGGGAGUAUUAGGCUGAAAGAUAAUUUCUAGUGGAGUUUCUCAUGGUCAAUAUUCAAUUUCUGUAGUGAGUUUGGGGGAAAAAACAGAAGUAUGCUAAUGACAUUUGCUAGUGCUUAAGUAGUAUCAUCAGAGGAAGAAUGGGAUAUCAUUUAGGAAGAGGGGAAAGAUCAAGGAGAUGGAGUAAUAGGAACAGGAUAAAAUGUAGCAGCACAAAAUGUGGGAUCCGAUACUUGCAAAACGUUUUGCUAUAGUGGGGCCUUUUGCUCCACUUGGCAACUAGAGAGGACGAAGAAAGAAGAACCUCAUCUUAUUAGUUGAUGAUUGAGUGACUAGUUUGAUGUGACUUUAAUAUGAUUGCAGGAUAUGCCAGACAAAGUACUUUGAGGACAGAAAGGAGAGUAUUUAUACCACUGCAUAAGGCAUCUGGAAUUAGUUAUGCUAUUCUGGUCACCCAUCUUCAAGAAAGAAAAACUGGAAGAGAAAAACUAGGAUGAUGAAAAGAAUUGUGAACAUGUUUUUUUAUGACAGGAGAUUCUGAGCUUGGCUUGUAUGACUUAGCAAAAUAGAUGUUGAGAAGAGAUGAGAGUGGGCUCUAUAAAUAUAUCAAGAAAGCAAACAACAGAGAGGAAGAGUUAUUUUAAGCUGAAAAGUAGUUUGGCAAAAGAACAAAUAGGUAUAAACUGGCAAUAAAAAAUUUUAGACUAUAAAUUAAGAGGUCUGUAAUCUUCAGAGGCAGGCUUUGGACCAAUCUUUCAAAUGAAAGAGGAAGAGACUGACAGGUAUCUAAAUGACUGUGAUGUGGUUAUCUGCAGUAUAAAGGAACUGGUUCCCCUGAUUAAAAACCCUUCUAGUCCUGUGUUUCUAAUCUGUAGUGUAAUGGAAUUCCUAAAUGUUAAUAAUACAAGUGUCAUCAGCAAUUAGCUGUUAAUCAAUAAUAUUCAUUAGUGACUGGGUGUUGCUUGGAUACAUGGUGAUUGGAUACAACCAUGAGGACAGCUGUAUCUGCUCUUUGGAAGACAAGACCCCAGAGGAAAAGCCUGUCCAUCCCGGCUUGGUUUUCAGAGAAGGUAAUUACACCUGAUUCCUGUUCAUUUGGGUAGUGCCAAUAUAAUUACUCCAGACCAACCUGCUUUUGUUUAUGAAGUCCCUGUGAUGCUGAGAUCAGAAUUGGGACCAACAUCUCUGCAUAGGUCCGUGGUAUGCUAGUUGUUGAUACAGAUAUUUAAAAAUUCUAAACAUUUCUGGACAAAACAGAAGCAUGUCUUUUCUGUCCUAUAAAGCUUCAUGUAUGUAUCGUGAUUCCUGGAGAGAGAUCCCAUCAGUUCUGUAGUUAUUAAUUUACAGGUUUCUCCCUGACCUUAGCUCAGCUCUGGGAAUGGUGCCAGAACAAUUACUGUAACUCUGCACAGUUCAGACAUGAAGCUCCUGUAUUUACCCUGAAAUUGUGCCAGAUUUUCUCUUGCUCAGUGAUGGAAAGAUGCAUUUCUUCUUUGAUUGGUUUCAAAUAGUUCAGACGGGGUUGGCCGUAACAAGAUUAUUUCCAGCAGAAGAAGGAAAAGAAAUAAAGUACCAUGCAGAUGUGUGCAUACACUGUAUAGUUAUUCUCAUGCCACAGACAGCCUUUAGGAAAUGAUCGUCGUGUCCCAAAAAAAGAUGUGGGGGGGAAACUGAGUCAAGGCAACUUAUGCUAUUUACCGCAAAGCUCAGUGGCAGGGUUGGGAAUAAAACUGAAGGGACAGAUGCCGAAUUCGGUGGUGUUUCCACUGAAUCAUGCUACCUUCCUGGAGCACGUGGAGGCCCCUUGCCUUCCUUCCUGUGAAGGUGGGCAGCUGGCCUGCAAUGAUGCCAGGUGGGCCGAGUGCGCGUGUCACCUUGGCGGAUCAGGCCCCCGGUGAUGAUCUCUGACGUUAAUCGACCACCAGACCCAGCAAGAGGGGAGGCAACACAUUUCCUGACCUGCGGUCUAAGAUACUGUUUUGCAGACCCUAGAGUGAGUUUAACGCUGUUGUAAAGGAAACGCUGACACGAGCCACCGGCAGCUGUUGUGCUCCAGCGUCCCUGCAAAGGCAAAUUGAAGGUUAUGGACAGAUGAGUCUGGGUGACUAAAUGAAUGAAUUGCCACCUCUCUGUGGAGCUACAGAAACUGACUGUUUUAGCCCUUUGCUUCUUGAAAUAAAUAACAUUAAUGCCAAGUAAAGAUGUUUGGCUCAGAGAAAGCGGAGGGGUUAUCGAUGUGGACCGCUCAGAUGGCUCUGCAAACACACGGCAGCUCACGAAAUGGCAGGAGGGUGAUCCCUCGCGCUGGCCGGGCUCUGUACCCCGUACACGCGUUCGAUGCGGACGCCGCUGGGUCCUGGGGUUCCCCAGCUCUGAAUUUGGCAGAAAUGUACCAUCUUGCCUAAUAAGAGCUAUACGAAGAUUUGCUUUUGGAAGUUGCUGAAAUGCUCAAAUGGUGUACUUAGGAGCGCCCUGCCCUGAUCCCCUGCAGGGAUUAAUAAAUAUUUGGCAUUAUA